rnacentral:rRNA from 1 species
UACAGAGGGUGCAAGCGUUGUUCGGAAUUACUGGGCGUAAAGGGCGCGUAGGCGGCCGCCUAAGUCAGACGUGAAAUCCCUCGGCUCAACCGGGGAACUGCGUCUGAUACUGGGUGGCUUGAAUCCGGGAGAGGGAUGCGGAAUUCCAGGUGUAGCGGUGAAAUGCGUAGAUAUCUGGAGGAACACCGGUGGCGAAGGCGGCAUCCUGGACCGGCAUUGACGCUGAGGCGCGAAAGCCAGGGGAGCAAACGGGG